rnacentral:lncRNA from 1 species
AACAUUUGAUCCAUUUCAGUAACUUUCCAGAGACACCAAUGUUGGAUAGUUUUUUCAAUAGGAUCUUGUGAUCGACCCUGUUGAAGGCCUUACUGAAAUCAAGGUAGAUGACAUCGGUGUUGGAGCCCUCUCCCAAAGCUCUCAAAAUGUCAUCAAAGUGAUGCAGGAGCUGCGUUAGGCAGUCCCUUCCAUUACGGAACCCAUGUUGGUUAGAGAUCAGCCGUCUGUUGCUUUCCAGAAAUUGGGUUAUUCGAGAUCUCACCACCCUCUCAAAUACCUUGAUGAUAUGAGAGGUGAGUGAGAUCGGACGGUAGUUCACUGCAAGGGACUUGUUUCCCUUUUGAAAACUGGGACAACAGACUGGUACAGAAGGUUUUUUGGAAUGUAGCCAGCAUCCAGUGAGUUUCUCCACAGAUUAGCAAGGGGAGAUGCAAGUUGGUGUCGACAUACCUUCAGGACACAAGCAGGGAACCUAUCGGGGCCUACUGCUGAAUUGUGUUUUAUUUCGUUUAUCGCCGCUAAGACAUCUGGGGCACUAAACGUUAUGUCCGAUAUAGUGUGUUGGGGGUUGACAUCACUGAUACAGCCCAGAUCGGCCAUAUCAGGAUUGCUGAAAACAGAGCAGUAUUGUUUCUGCAGUAUCUCGGCCAUGGAUUUGGCAUUAUCUUGGAGAGUGCCAGUUUCAUCAAUUAGAGGGCCAACAAUGGAGACAGUGACCCUGCGUUUCCUCGCAAAUGAAAAGAACACUUUGGGGUUGAGUUUGAUUUUUUCAAUGGCCCACUUCUCCUCAGCUGAUCUUUGGUUAUUGAUGAGGGUCUUCAUGCAUUGUUGGAGGUUAUAUUUUUGGGAUUCAAGCGGUGCGAUAGCCGUCGAAUGUGUGUGUUGCUGUUGGCAGUACUUUAGUUUGUUAAUUUUUUUGUUUGUUCUUUUUAUUUUUCUGAUAAUGGUUUUUCUGUUUUGGGGGAUUCUGCACUUUUUGUUCACAGGUCUUGGUGGGGAGUGUUUUGCACAUAUGUCUGUGACGGUGUCUACAAAGAUCUGCCAAGAUGUUUUAUGGUUGGUGGAGAUGUGUGUAUGUGUAAAGGACCAGUCAACAUGUGAUAGCUCGUUCCUGAUUGCAUCCCAGUUGGCAUUAUGGAGAUCCAUGUUGUCAAAUGGGUGGGCUGGAGGGAGGUCACUAGGAUUAGCUUUCGGCUGGUGGAAUUUCAUGUUACAGAGAACCAUGUCAUGGUCUGAAAGAAGGGUUUUUUCCACUGUAACGUUAUGUAUAGUGUUAGUGUGGUUACUAAACACUAGGUCCAAAAUGUUCUGAUGUCUUGUUGGUGCAAGGACAAGUUGGGACAAGAAAAACUCAUUCGUAAGGUCGAAAAGUGACUCUGCUGCUUCUUUGUCAGCGGUUGAGGCGGGAGUGCUUGGUUUCAAACAGUUUGUAGUCCAGUCAACACAGGGUAGAUUGAAGUCUCCCAUCAUGAGUAGGUUGCUAGAAUGGCACUGUUGAAUAAAGCACUUAAUGCUGUUGAGGCAUUCUUUAAAGCACAGUAUGGGUGUUUGGGGCGGCCUAUAGAGCCCAAUUACUGUCAGGUCAUUGGCUUUGUUGUGCACGGUGACUGAUUCACAGUAGCCGUUGGAGAAUAUACUAUUUCCAUCUGCCGUAAACGAAUCAUGCAGGAAAAUGGCAGUUCCACCCUUCCUUCUGCCGAUACGAUCCGCGCGGAUGGUUGUGAAAUUCUUCACUCUCACUUCGGCUUCCAAGUGGGAGUUGUCAAGGUGGGUCUCAGUGAGAAUGAAGAAAGGGAUGUGGUGUGGAUGGUUACCAACCCAGUCUUCAAUGAAUUGGACCUUCCAUUUUUGUGCAUUGAUGGAAGGGCUGACACCUUGUGCAUUGAGUAGAAAUGUGGAGGUUAGUGUAGUGGCUGGUUUUGACUGUUGCAGGGGGAUUGGAUUUUUUGUGUGUGUUAGUGGCAGCAAUGUGGGGAAUUGGUGCACUGGGGUAAUAGCAUAGGAUGGUGUUGAGUGAUGGCUAGAAUAUUUUUGUGUAUCUCUUUUGCCAUGUUCAACAUGGCUAAAAAAGAAUUUUCCUGCUUAGGGAGCAGUUUUUGGCUGGAGGUGUGGUUGCACUGUUGGAUAGGGUUGUAGUUUCCACUUUUGUUGUUGUUGUUCUUGUGUCUUCCUGAAAAGACUGGACCAGCAUUACUGCAGCAUGGUGUGUUUUUAUUUUAAUUUUUAUUCAGGUUUGUGUGUUGGCUUGAAGCCCCGUUUCUGUUUGUGCGUCGGGUCCCUGGAAGAUGAGUGAAGGGACAGUCACUCAGCAGACAUGUUCUCUCACGUUGGGAAUACCGGCAGAUUUUGGGACUCCGAGUUGUGUGUGUUUUGAAUUUCGAUUUACUAUUUGGUGGUGUUGAUGUUAUUGUGGGAUGCGUGCUUUGGCCUUAGCCGGUAGUGCGUCUAGUGCCGGGUAGAUGUGUGAAGAUGCAGUCACUAUUUGUGCAGAGUCUCUGGUGCAGUGAAUAGCGGCAUAUUUUGGGGUUUCUUGUUUGUGCCGUGGGGGGCGCAUUCUGCUUCAUAUGUUUCUUUAAGUUUUUGUUACUGCAGUAGUAUUGAGGUGGUGAUGUGGGGGAAGAGAGCAGUGGUUUCUUAUUUGGUUUUCUGUUGGCAUUUUUGGUGAUAGAAGACGAUGGUGGCAGCGGUGGUGAUGAUGAUGAUGAUAAUUGUGGUGGUUGCCGUGAGAGCGGCAUAUAUAUAUAUAUAUACAUAUAUAUGUAUACAUAUAUAUAUAUAUAUAUAUAUAUAUAUAUAUAUGUAUACAUAUAUAUAUAUAUGUAUACAUAUAUAUAUAUAUAUAUAUAUAUACAUAUAUAUGUAUACAUAUAUAUAUAUAUGUAUACAUAUAUAUAUAUAUAUGUAUACAUAUAUAUAUAUAUACAUAUAUAUGUAUAAAUAUAUAUAUAUAUAUAAAUAUAUAUACAUAUAUAUGUAUACAUAUAUAUAUAUGUAUACAUAUAUAUAUAUGUAUACAUAUAUAUAUAUGUAUACAUAUAUAUAUAUACAUAUAUCUAUAUACAUAUAUAUAUAUAUAUAUAUAUAAAAACAUAUAUAUGUAUACAUAUAUAUAUACAUAUAUAUAUAUAUACAUAUAUAUGUAUACAUAUAUAUACAUAUAUAUAUAUAUAUAUAUACAAACAUAUAUAUGUAUAUAUAUAUACAUAUAUAUGUAUAUACAUAUAUAUAUAUAUAUAUACAUAUAUAUGUAUAUAUAUAUACAUAUAUAUGUAUAUACAUAUAUAUAUACACAUAUAUAUAUAUAUAUGUAUACAUAUAUAUAUACAUAUAUAUGUAUACAUAUAUAUAUAUACAUAUAUAUAUAUAUACAUUUAUAUAUAUAUACAUAUAUAUGUAUAUAUAUAUACAUAUAUACGUAUAUAUAUAUACAUAUAUAUGUAUAUAUAUACAUAUAUGUAUAUAUAUAUAUAUAUAUAUAUAUAUAUAUAUAUAUAUAUAUAUAUAUAUAUAUAUAUAUAUAUAUAUAUAUAUAUAUAUAUAUAUAUAUAUAUAUAUAUAUAUAUAUAUAUAUAUAUAUAUAUAUACAUAUAUAUAUAUAUAUAUAUAUAUAUAUAUAUAUAUAUAUACAUAUAUAUAUAUAUAUAUAUAUAUAUAUAUAUAUAUACAUAUAUAUAUAUAUACAUAUAUAUAUAAAAUAUAUACAUAUAUAUAUAUAUAUAUAUACAUAUAUACAUAUAUACAUAUAUAUAUAUAUAUAUAUAAUAUAUAUAUAUAUAUAUAUAUAUAUAUAUAUAUAUAUAUAUAUAUAUAUAUAUAUAUAUAUAUAUAUAUAUAUAUAUAUAUAUAUAUAUAUAUAUAUACAUAUAUAUAUAUAUAUAUACAUAUAAACAUAUAUAUAUAUAUAUAUAUAUAUAUAUAUAUAUAUAUAUAUGUGCUCCCCUAUAUUGACCGCAUCCCCUCUACUAUCUCUCCCUCUCUUUUCACUGGUAAAACCUUUCUCAGCUGGACCCCCCCCCCAACUCAACUCUAGAAUAUCUGUAUUUUUCCUCCUUACUACGCUACCUAAUUACGUUACUCAGUGACGAUAACGAAUGUCCACUGCUAACACCAGCUCCUGUCCACGGCGUGGACAGGUCAGAAGAGAGAUCAAAAGAAAAAUGCUACGAAAACUAUCACCACCACAACAAGCCUCCUCUUCUCAGGCGCUGAAUUCCCCCCUCCCCCCCCACAUCUCCUUCCCAGUUUUCAGAGUUGGCACUAUCAAUGUUGGUACAUUGACAGGCAAGUCUAGUGAGAUUGUAGAGAUGCUAGAGAGAAGACAGGUUGAUGUAUGCUGCAUACAAGAGGUAAGAUGGAGAGGUGCUUCGGCUAGGGUCCUCACGGGCAAGGCACUUAGGUACAAACUCUUCUGGCAAGGUAACGUGGAAGGUGUAGGGGGUGUAGGCAUUCUCCUUGCGGAGAAAUGGGUGGAUGAGGUCAUAGAGGUUGUCAGGGUUUGCGAUAGAGUGCUUAAGCUCAGGUUGGUCCUACAGAGUGGCACAGCUAUGAUUAUCUCCGCCUAUGCCCCACAAGCGGGACUACCAAAUGAUCAGAAGGACAACUUUUAUGAUAGCCUUCUGCAGGCUACUUCAAAGACUAGUAGCAAGGACCUCAUCUUUGUAGGUGGAGAUUUUAAUGGGCAUGUUGGGCGGGAAUCGGGUAUCUUCACUGGGGUACAUGGUGGCUAUGGUAUUGGCACCAGAAAUGAUGAGGGAACUAGACUGCUGGAAUUCUGUGAUGCAUGUAACCUUUCAAUCUGCAACACUAACUUCAAGAAGCCAGUCUGCCACCUUAUAACUUAUCAGUCAGGAGACUCCGCUAGCCAAAUAGACUUCAUCCUCACCAGACAGUGGGAUGCAGGGUUGCUCUUGAAUACAAAGACCCUCCCGGGUGAAGAAUGUAUCCCUCAGCAUAGACUAAUCAUCAGUGACUUUAAGCUUGAGACCAGAAGGACUCCAAGAAACAAACCAAUCCAGAAAAGAAGGAUUUGGAGGCUAAAGAACCCUUCACAUGGUCAGAAAUUUAGGGACAUACUCAUCAAGAAAUUUGAUGAGAGGGAGGAGGAGCUUCAGACGUCAGACAUAGAAGGUAGCUGGGAAUUCCUACGGGACAGCUUGCUGAGUGCCACAGACCGAGUCUGUGGAUGGUGCAAAGUCCCUUCCAGACCUAGAAUUACGUGGUGGUGGAAUAGUGCAGUAGAUAAAGCCAUCUGUAAAAAGAGACGGGCCUGGAAAGCCUGGAAGGAUGGGGGCAGCAGGGAACUGUACCAGAUAGCCAAAAGGGAGGCUGGGCGGCAGGUAUACAUAGCCAAAGACGUAGCAGAAAAGAAGAAGUUUGCCAAUGUCCAGCGAUGCGAGGAUCAAAGAGCUGAAGUAUUUCGGAUUGCCAGACAGUGUGUCAGAGAAAAUAGUGAUGUUAUAGGAGAGAAAUGUGUCCGCAUGGAUGAUGGGGCACUUGCUUUUACUGCUAGUGAAAAGAAAGAGGCUUGGAGAAGCCAUUAUGAAAGACUGCUGAAUGAGGAGAAUGAAUGGGAGGAGGAGAGCCUGCCAAAUGUUGACCCAGUAGAGGGACCAGCUACCCGAAUAGACAGCUCCCUUGUAGAUAAGGCAAUUAAGGAUAUGAAACCAGGCAAAGCCCCUGGCCUAUCAGGAAUCACUGCUGAGAUGCUUAAAACAGCUGGCUAUGUGGGCUAUACCAUAGUCACCCGCAUUGUAAACCAGGUAGUUCACAAUGGAGUCAUACCCAAUGACUGGUGCAGCAGCACCAUAGUCAACUGCUACAAGGGUAAGGGUGAUGCUCUAGAUAGAAAUAACUACAGAGGUAUCAAACUGUUGGACCAAGUGAUGAAGGUCUCAGAGAAGGUCAUAACCCAUCUCAUUAGGGAGAGAAUUUGUUUAGAUGAAAUGCAGUUCGGUUUUGUACCAGGUAGAAGCACCACUGAUGCUAUAUUCCUGGUCCGACAACUGCAGGAGAAGUACCUAGCUAAAGAUAAACCCCUCUACAUAGCUUUUGUAGACUUGGAGAAAGCCUUUGACAGGGUUCCCCGUUCCCUCAUCUGGUGGUCGAUGCGGAAACUGGAGAUUGAAGAAUGGCUAAUAAGGGCUGUACAGGCUCUAUACAGAGAGGCUGUCAGCAAGGUUAGGAUUGGCAACGAAUAUAGUGAAGAAUUCCGGGUAGAAGUAGGUGUGCACCAGGGCUCAGCCCUCAGUCCCCUUUUAUUCAUCAUAGUCCUUCAGGCAAUAACAGAGGAAUUCAAAACGGGAUGCCCCUGGGAGCUCCUCUAUGCCGAUGACCUAGCUCUCAUAGCAGAAUCACUACCGGAACUAGAAGAGAAAUUUCGGGUGUGGAAGCAAGGGUUGGAAUCAAAGGGCCUUAGAAUAAAUGUAGCAAAGACCAAAGUAUUAGUAAGCAGCAAGAGGUACUCAGCACACACCCCCUCGGGUAGGUGGCCCUGCUCAAUCUGUAGGAAAGGUACAGGUAGAAACUCCAUAAGAUGCACCCAAUGUAAGUUAUGGACACAUAAGAGGUGCAGCAACAUUAAAGGGAAAUUAACAGAUAAGAUAGCUUUCAUGUGCGGCAGAUGCACAGGGACAAUAGACACAACAGACACUCAGAAAACAGAUUCCAUCACACUCCAGGGAGAGAAACUAGAAGUAGUUGAUAGUUUCCGCUACCUGGGUGACCAAGUUAGUAGCGGAGGUGGAUGCACAGAGAGUAUCACCACUAGAAUAUGAAUAGCCUGGGCAAAGUUCAGAAAGCUCCUACCCCUACUGGCAACAAAAGGUCUCUCCCUCAGAGCGAAAGGUAGAUUGUAUGAUGCAUGUGUGCGAACUGCCAUGCUUCACGGUAAUGAAACAUGGGCAGUGACUGCAGAGGACAUGCGUAGACUUGAAAGAAAUGAAGCUAGCAUGAUCCGCUGGAUAUGUAGUGUCAGUGUGCACGCAAGACAGAGUGUAAGCAUCCUAAGAGAAAUGCUGGAUAUAAGAAGCAUCAGAUGUGGUGUGCAAGAGCGACGCUUGCGAUGGUAUGGUCAUGUGCUGCGGAUGGAUGAAGAGAGAUGUGUGAAGAAGUGCCACUCCCAAACAGUUGAAGGUAUCAGGGGAAGAGGUAGACCCAGGAAGACAUGGGAUGAGGUAGUCAAGCAUAACCUCAGAGCAUUGGGCCUCACUGAGGCAAUGGCGAAAGACCGAGAUCUCUGGAGAUACGCUGUGACUGCAAAGACCCGGGCUGCUUUCUGCAGCAAUUCCACAUACCCCCUACCCAUUCAAAGUACCCCGGAUCCCCAAAGUACCCCGGACCCAGUUGCCCCCGUGCCGCUGGCACGUUAAAAGCUCGAACCGAUCGCGACCAAUGCCGGACUCCCCGGCCCCUGUGCAGGUGGCACGUAAAAAGCACCCAAUCCACUCACGGAGUGGUUGGCGUUAGGAAGGGCAUCCAGCCGUAGAAACUCUGCCAAAUCAGACUGGAGCCUGGAGCGGCCCCUGGCUUCCCAGACCCCGGUCGAACCGUCCAACCCGUGCUAGCGCGGAAAAACAGACGUUAAACGAUGAUGAUGAUGAUGAUGAUGAUGAUAUAUAUAUAUACAUAUAUACAUUUAUAUAUAUAUAUAUAUACAUAUAUAUAUAUAUACAUAUAUACAUAUAUAUAUAUAUAUAUAUAUAUAUAUAUAUAUAUAUAUAUAUAUAUACAUAUUUAUAUAUAUACAUAUAUAUAUAUAUAUAUAUAUAUAUACAUAUAUAUACAUAUAUACAUAUAUAUACAUAUAUACAUAUAUAUACAUAUAUACAUAUAUAUAUAUAUAUAUAUAUAUAUAUAUAUAUAUAUGUUGAUUGAUUGAUUGAUUCUAGUUUCAGCUUAUGAGCUGCGGCCAUGCUGGGGCUCCGCCAUUUGGUGUUGCUACUUGGUUUCACUUCACGAAAGCUUUCUAGCAACUGCCAUUUAGUGCAUGAGAGAGUUCGAUGCAACUGCCCUCAUCUGCCCCUCCUGCCGUGAAGUUGGUUCAUCUGGGACACCUGACAGGAAGAGAUCCAGCUUCCUUUUAAAGACAUCUGCAUCCACCCCAUGCAGGUCUCUCUGGUUCUUCGGGAGGAUAUUGAAGAGCUGUGGGCCUCGGAAGCCCAGGCUAUCACAGAAUCUUGUCCUACAUCUUGAUGGCAAGUUUGGAGUCCUAGGCACCACGCAGUGGCGCCCAGUUCUGGCAUUUGCGUAACUCUCGAUGCCAAAGUUUAGGACACGUCCCUCCAGGAUCUUCCAGAUGUAUAUUAUGGCAUAUCUUUCCCGCCUACGCUCCAGGGAAUAUAGUUUUAAUCUCUUGAGUCUUUCCCAGUAGCUUACAUUCUGCAUAGAGGCUAUCCUCUUCGUGUAGCUACGUUGGAUCGCCUCGAGCUCUGUGAUCAACUUGACACUGGAUGGUGACCAUAACUGAGAGCAGUAGUCAAAGUGGCUUAGGACAAGUGUCCUCCAGAGGACCAUCAUGGUUUCUUGUUCUCUUGUUCUAAAGGUUCUGAGGAUCCAUCCGGCCAGUCGUCUACAUUUCAUUGCCAAUUUAGCAACAUGUACACGAAAGGUCGCGUCAUCACUCAUGUAAAUACCUAGGUCACGCACUGAUUGUGCCUCUGGGAUUGCUAUUCCUCCGGGUCCAGUGUAUUCAUUGGGUAUUGCAUUUAGUUUUGCAUGCUGAUAGUAUAGAGCUUGAAACUUUUCAGCAUUGAACUGCAUGCUAUUCUUUUCGGCCCACUUGUAUAUUUUGUCUAGCUCACAUUGCAGGUGUUUAGUGUCCUCAGGGUUCUGUAUUGCCUGUGAAACUUUUGUAUCAUCUGCAUAACUUGUGAUCGUGGCUCUCUGCGUGGCUGAGGGCAUGUCUGAGAGGGCCAUUAUGAACAGUAGUGGUCCCAGAACAGUGCCCUGCGGAACAUCGCUCACUAUUUGCGUGUUAAUGGAAGUGGCCCCAUUAGCCACUACCACCUGACUUCUAUCUUUCAGAAAGUCAUGAAGCCAUUCUCCCAGUUUUCCAACUAUGUUGAGAUCACGCAGUUUGUGACAUAUCAUUCCAUGAUCGACUUUAUCAAAGGCCUUUGCAAAGUCGAGAUAUAUCACUUCCACAUUUGAGUGGUUGAGCAGCCGUUUCAGCACCCAGUCAUAGUGUUGUAGGAGCUGAGUAUAUAUACAUAUAUAUAUACAUAUAUACAUAUAUAUAUAUACAUAUAUAUAUAUAUAUAUAUAUAUAUAUAUAUAUAUAUAUAUAUAUAUAUAUAUAUAUAUAUAUAUAUAUAUAUAUAUAUAUAUAUAUAUAUAUAUAUAUAUAUAUAUAUAUAUAUAUAUAUAUAUAUAUAUAUAUAUAUAUAUAUAUAUAUAUAUAUAUAUAUAUAUAUAUAUAUAUAUAUAUAUAUAUAUAUAUAUAUAUAUAUAUAUAUAUAUAUAUAUAUAUAUAUAUAGACCGGAGUAAACACAUAAAUGUGAAACAAGGUGGAAAAAAGAGUACUCAAAUACCAGUGGUAGAGUAAUAAGCAUAAAUUUUCUGCUGCUUAAAAUAAAGUAUAUAUAUAUAUAUAUAUAUAUAUACAUAUAUACAUAUAUAUAUAUAUAUAUAUAUAUAUAUAUAUAUAUAUAUAUAUAUAUAUAUAUAUAUAUAUAUAUAUAUAUAUAUAUAUAUACACAUAUAUACAUAUAUGGGUGACUUCUUUAACCUCCCCAAUGGGGAAUGGCCUGGGGGCAGAUGCUCCCAGGGAUGACACACCAUCAGCAGGCACAGGUGGAGUCCCUGCUCCAUCUCACAAAGGCCUCUUUCAUGGAGCAAACAGUUCUGCAACCAACAAGUGCAGAUAAUAUACUGGAUCUCUACUUCACAAACAAUAUGGAUAUUAUCCAUAAUGUUAAUGUGAUGCCGACAAUGAUCUCGGAUCACAACAUAAUAGAGCUGUCUAUGUAUGGAACAAAAGCCCCCGUAGACACACAGCCUAUACGAAGCAUCCACCAUCUCUCCAACUUAAACUUUCAUAAAGCCAACUGGAAGUUGAUUGAGGAAGAGAUCCUCAAACAGGAUUGGCCUGAAUGUCUCUCCACACCGGACAUAAACAUGAAACACAAACACUUCAUGUCCAUAAUACAAGCCAUAUGUGACAAAUAUGUCCCAAUGUGCAGGGCCAGCACACACAAGAACAAAAACAGGAUCCCUAGAGAAAGGAGGAUUCUUAUGAGACGACGGACAAGGAUUGUGAACCGCCUGAGCAAGCACACUAAAAGUGGUGAGAAGUCUCGGCUCGAAAGAAUGCUAAUGGAAACUGAGAAAAGUCUACAUCAGUCCCAUGAAAAGGAGAGAGCAGAUAAAGAAGCUUGGGUAAUAGAAAAUAGAAAAUCAAACCCUAAAGCUUUCUUUAAGUUUGCCAAAGAGACAGCCACAGUGCACCAGAGAAUAGGACCUCUCUUCCAAAAGAUGGCUCCCUCACAGGAAAUCCCACGAGGAUAAGUGAAAUACUGAACGAACAGUUCCAAAGUAUGUUCACUACACCUCUAGGACACAGGCAAGUAAACAACCCAGAAGAAUUCUUUGCCACUUUACCUGCGGCCAAAGAGGCAAAAAUUGAGUACAUCAACAUCGAAGAUGAUGAUAUCACACUAGCCAUAGAUGAGAUUGACACAAACUCAGCUGCUGGACCUGAUGGAUUCCCAGCGAUCCUUCUCAAAUCGUGCAAACAAGCCCUUGCAAAACCGCUACAGCUUCUUUUUCAGAGCUUUCUUGCAAGUGGUAAGCUCCCAGUCAAAUUGAAAGAGAGGGUAAUAUGCCCUAUCCAUAAGGGAGGUAGCAGAGCAGAUGCUAAAAAUUAUAGGCCUAUCUCUCUGACCUCACACAUCAGCAAAGUCAUGGAACGAAUAGUCCGUAAGAAACUAAUCAUGUUCCUUGAAGAAAAUGACCUGCUGUCUGACACCCAGCAUGGAUUUCGACCAGGUAGAGGCUGCUUAACAAAGCUCCUGCAACACUAUGACUGGGUGUUGAAACAGCUACUAAAUGGCUCAAAUGUGGAUGUAAUAUAUCUCGACUUUGCAAAAGCCUUUGAUAAGGUCGACCAUGGUAUGAUCUGUCACAAACUGCGUGGUCUCGGCAUAGGCGGAAAACUUGGAGAGUGGCUGCACAACUUCCUAAAACACAGAAAACCGGCAGUUGUGAGCAAUGGAGCAACCUCCAAGGAAACGCAAAUAACAAGCGGUGUCCCACAGGGCACUGUCUUGGGACCACUGAUGUUCAUAGUGGCCCUUUCAGAUAUGCCUUCAGUUGCUACGAUGACCACCCUUGCUAGCUAUGCAGAUGACACAAAAGUCUCCCACGCAAUACAAAACCCUGAAAAUAUUGUGCAUCUGCAACAGGAGCUGGACACAAUAUACAGGUGGGCUGAGGACAACAACAUGCAGUUUAAUGCAGGUAAGUUCCAGGCCCUGCACUACUGGCACACAAAUGUAAACGACGUGAAGACUCGAUACACUGGCCCAGGAAGAAUUGCAAUCUCUGAGUCAAAAUCAGUGCGUGACCUGGGCAUUGACAUGAGCAAUGAUGCAUCUUUCCAAGUGCAUAUUGCUAAUCUGGUGAUAAAAUGCAGACGGCUAGCUGGAUGGAUUCUCCGAAAUUUCAGAACAAGAGAGAAGGAGACACUGAUGGUCCUAUGGAAAACAUUCGUCCUCAUCCGCUUGGACUACUGCUCCCAACUGUGGUCACCACACAAUAUAAAACUAACAGCAGAACUCGAAGCAACUCAGAGAAGCUACACAAAGAAAAUCGUCUCAAUGCAAAAUAUCAGCUACUGAGAAAGACUGAAGGUAUUAAACCUCUUCUCCCUAGAGCGAAGGCGAGAGAUAUAUGCGGUGAUAUACAUCUGGAAAAUCCUGGAGGGUCUUGUCCCAAACUUUGGCAUUCAAAGUUACCCCAACCGCAGAACAGGGCGCCACUGCAUGGUGCCAAGGAUUCCAACAUCACCAUCAAAAUACAGGUCCAGAUACUGCAACAGCUUGGGUUUCAGAGGACCACAGCUCUUUAACAUCCUCCCUAAAUGCCUGAGAGACUUACAUGGUGUGGAUGUGGGUUUCUUUAAAACUAAACUGGAUCUCUUCUUGUCGGGAGUCCCAGAUGAACCUACCUCACGACAGGAGACGCGGAUGCAGGCAGCAGCAUCAAACUCCCUUGUUGAUCAAGUGCCACGUAUCAGAGGUGGAUUCACAAAUUAGUGUAGCUCAUUCAGCGGUGGUGCCCCAGCAUGGCCGCAGCCUUCGGGCUGAAACAUUUUUAAGGAUUUUAAGGAUUUAUAUGCAUAUAUAUAAAUAUGUAUAUAUAUAUAUAUAUAUACAUAUAUGUAUGUAUAUAUAUAUAUAUAUAUAUAUAUAUAUAUAUAAACAUACAUAUAUAUAUAUACAUAUAUAUACAUAUAUAUAUAUAUAUAUAUAUAUAUACAUAUAUAUAUAUACAUAUAUAUACA